rnacentral:rRNA from 1 species
CACGUAGGGGACGAGCGUUGUCCGGAAUUAUUGGGCGUAAAGAGCUCGUAGGCGGUUUGUCGCGUCGGCCGUGAAAACUUGGGGCUUAACCCCAAGCCUGCGGUCGAUACGGGCAGACUUGAGUUCGGCAGGGGAGACUGGAAUUCCUGGUGUAGCGGUGAAAUGCGCAGAUAUCAGGAGGAACACCGGUGGCGAAGGCGGUUCUCUGGGCAUGAUCUGACGCUGAGGAGCGAAAGUGUGGGGAGCGAACAGG